rnacentral:lncRNA from 1 species
AGAUACCAAUUCCUAUACCUCUGAAGAUGCAGUAGGGUGGAAUGUGGCUUCUUGAAGGAGAGCAACACCAAGAUUCUGCAUGACCAGGCAAAUUUGGCCUUAUUAAAGUCUUUGCUUCAUUCCCGUUUCAAGAAUAAGCAAAGAGGGGCAGCUGUAAUAACCCAAAUUUUCCCAGCCCAUAUAUAUUUCAAAAAGAGAAAAACAAAUAAAUAAAAAUAAAACCAAAUAAAACCAAAUAAAAAAUAAUAGUGAAGGCCAAUAGCAGUUCAUUUACAAAUCCGAAUCAGCUAAACCUAAAUGAACCCCAAACUCAAUUUUCAUAAACCUGAAUAAAU